rnacentral:rRNA from 1 species
UACAGAGGUCUCAAGCGUUGUUCGGAUUCAUUGGGCGUAAAGGGUGCGUAGGCGGCUCGGUAAGUCGGGUGUGAAAUCUCGGGGCUUAACUCCGAAACUGCAUUUGAUACUGCCGUGCUUGAGGACUGGAGAGGAGACUGGAAUUUACGGUGUAGCGGUGAAAUGCGUAGAUAUCGUAAGGAAGACCAGUGGCGAAGGCGGGUCUCUGGACAGUUCCUGACGCUGAGGCACGAAGGUCAGGGGAGCAAACGGG